UGGGGACCGCGCCUGCAAAGUACUUUCUAUUUAACUUUUUUUUAAAAAAAGUUUUUUGUUUGCUUAAUUUAUAAACCAUCCGUUAUUUACAAAGGGAUUUGGGGUGGGGGACGGGUGGGACGUCUUGGUUUUUUUUUUUUUUUUUUACACACUGCCGCAGUAGCUGCAGAAGAGAAAAAAAAAGAAAUUCCGGGGCCUUCGGAAGACCGUCUCUAGGGAGGGAUGCGGUGGCCUAUGGCUAGCUAUAGAAGAAGACCUCUGUGUCCAAAUCAGGGGCAUUCUGACAUAGCCAAUAAAAUGGUGCUUCUGUAACCAGGACUGUAUGUGAAUUGUAGCACACUGACAGAUGUUCGGCUGUUCGACUGACUCCUUCACACUUCGCACCUCCAAAGCCGGCUAUGCACUGUAGUAGCUGUCAUUUUGAGACUCAGUGACAUAACCACAAAGAACAGGAGGCCCCUGGAAAGAUCCAACAUUAACCCUAGGAAAUACGCAAAGAUAUCAUUUUGGGUCUUCCAACUCUUCACAGCAGGAUUGCAAGGUCCACUAAAAUGCAAUGUGUAUGUGUCUCCUAGGUUGUACACCGGCCCACUCGAGGAUAAAAAUGCUGAGCAAAACAAUGUUGAAAUGCUUAGAUUUUGUCUUGACUCCACAAAACGGCAAACAUGGUCAAACUGCAUUGUUCUCCCUCUACACUACACUGUGUUUGUAAAAUGUGUGACCCACCACACUGAGCCUGAAUUUUGCACACCCACAGGCAACCCCACCCACAGGACGAUCCCUUCCACACUGUAACCACCAAACCUGGUCUGUGGUCUAUCUGAGCUUUCUGAGUUAUGAGCUGGACAGACCUGCCUUAAACAAAGCUCUGGUUAGUGCCUGCAUUUGCUGCAGAAUGGCAUUAAUUGUGUUAGUGUGGUCUUUCUUUUACAAUAUAUAAAAGACAAAAUAACAUUUAGCUUACAUGAUGGACAUCAGUUGCAAUCUUUAAAAUUUCUUUGACAAUUCACCUUUUUAUAUUUCCUUUUUUUAAAAAACCCACUGCAUGCAGCUUUGCAUUCUAGCAAAGGUUUUUAAAGGAAGAGGUGACCUGUGUUCCUCCAAAGGGUAUUGGACUCCAGGUCCCAUCAGCUCUAACCACUGUAGCCAAAGGGGGAAGGAAUGAUGGGACUUAACACUCCAUACCUUCAGGACCACCUGUGUCCUAACCCUGUUCUAAACUGGCAAAUAAUACUUUGUCUUUUACUUUUCAAGUUUCAUUUCCUGCAGUCUAGAAGUAUAUGUAUAUAAUAACCGUGUGAUUAUGUCAUAAUCUCAAAGUUUAAACUUUGGCUUUGUGAUUUGUAAUAAUGACAACGAAAUUUAAGCUGUACAAUUUACUGGAUGCUAGCAGCAGAACGGUGGCAGCUGCGAAGAUAUGUAUGGAGAUUAUUAAGUAUUGUAGAUUUUUAUACAUAAAAUAUAUAUAUG
rnacentral:lncRNA from 1 species